UGGUGUUUUAACAUAUGCUCAAUUGUACAGACCGUUUCUCUCCUUUAACAAUAGGUCUUUGACAGUUCCUCGGGCUCUGGAGUGUGAUGUUCUGAGUGUAAAUGCAAGCUGUCCUGCUCUGUAACUCUACAGCCUUGAGCACCGUAGUGCCUCACUGCCCCGUGGUGUUUCAUCUGUGCUGUACAAUGAUGACCAGCAACAUUGUGCAUCUUGGAAGUGUGCUCUGAGCACUGAAUGACUCAACACUUUAAAAGGCUAUGUAUCUUACCCCUGCCCAUUCAACUGAGAAAACCAGUUUCACUUAUUUUGCUGUGCCUUAAGAAAAGCGCUGGUCUUGUCUCUGAGAAACAAUUGCUCCUAUCUGAAGCCACUUCAAAUGGGUCCUCAAGUAAAUAUCCAAGAUACCAAACAAAUGACCACAAGAAGUUCUAUACAAGUAAGGCCUUUGGGCCACCUUUGUAAACAGCACUAAUCUUCAUUGUACAGACACACAGUGCUAUACAAUAUACCAGUAAUAACGAGAGAACGGGGGUAGAUAGGGUAUAGAUGAAAUUCAGAAAUAUGGUACUUGGUGAAAAUUGACAAUUAUACAAUAGCAGCCUGUUAAACCUGUGAACCUAUAUUGGUUAAAAAGUUCCCUGUACAGUUUUGGUAAAAUGCAGGUGUUUGGAGCCUGUCCCAGACAUACAGAAUCUCUUUAUUUGAUGUUUUUUAGUAUAUAUGAUUACUGCUUUAUGCACUUGGUGAUAUAUUAUGUCCUGGGGAAUAAUUACAUGU